CCGCUGGUUUAGCUCAGUGGUUACUUCGCUCAAUUGUUUCUUUCAGAAACUUAUUGAACCUCCCUGACACGGGAUCAAACCGCGGGCGCUGUCCAGCAUUUUA
rnacentral:vault_RNA from 1 species